rnacentral:rRNA from 1 species
AUUUUGGACAAUGGGCGAAAGCCUGAUCCAGCAAUGCCGCGUGUGUGAAGAAGGCCUUCGGGUUGUAAAGCACUUUUGUCCGGAAAUAAACCCCUGGUCCUAAUAUGGCCGGGGGAUGACGGUACCGUAAGAAUAAGCACCGGCUAACUACUUGCCAGCAGCCGCGGUAAUACGUAGGGUGCAAGCGUAAAUCGGAAUUACUGGGCGUAAAGCGUGCGCAGGCGGUGAUGUAAGACCGAUGUGAAAUCCCCGGGCUCAACCUGGGAACUGCAUUGGUGACUGCAUCGCUUGAGUAUGGCAGAGGGGGGUAGAAUUCCACGUGUAGCAGUGAAAUGCGUAGAGAUGUGGAGGAAUACCGAUGGCGAAGGCAGCCCCCUGGGUCAAUACUGACGCUCAUGCACGAAAGCGUGGGGAGCAAAC